rnacentral:rRNA from 1 species
CGUAUGCAAUCUACCUUUUGCAGAGGGAUAGCCCAGUAGAAAUUUGGAUUAAUACCUCAUAGUAUAGUACCUUGGCAUCAAGGAACUAUUAAAGUCACAACGGCAAAAGAUGAGCAUGCGUCCCAUUAGCUAGUUGGUAAGGUAACGGCUUACCAAGGCAACGAUGGGUAGGGGUCCUGAGAGGGAGAUCCCCCACACUGGUACUGAGACACGGACCAGACUCCUGCGGGAGGCAGCAGUGAGGAAUAUUGGACAAUGGGCGCAAGCCUGAUCCAGCCAUGCCGCGUGCAGGAUGACGGUCCUAUGGAUUGUAAACUGCUUUUGCACAGGAAGAAACAACGCUACGUGUAGCGUCUUGACGGUACUGUGAGAAUAAGGAUCGGCUAACUCCGUGCCAGCAGCCGCGGUAAUACGGAGGAUCCAAGCGUUAUCCGGAAUCAUUGGGUUUAAAGGGUCCGUAGGCGGUCUUAUAAGUCAGUGGUGAAAUCUCCCCGCUCAACGGGGAAACGGCCAUUGAUACUGUAGGACUUGAAUUAUUAGGAAGUAACUAGAAUAUGUAGUGUAGCGGUGAAAUGCUUAGAGAUUACAUGGAAUACCAAUUGCGAAGGCAGGUUACUACUAAUGGAUUGACGCUGAUGGACGAAAGCGUGGGUAGCGAACAGGAUUAGAUACCCUGGUAGUCCACGCCGUAAACGAUGGAUACUAGCUGUUGGGUGCAAACUCAGUGGCUAAGCGAAAGUGAUAAGUAUCCCACCUGGGGAGUACGUUCGCA